GGCUCCGUAGCUUGGAGGAAAGAAGCGCCCGUCUAGCGAAUUGAGAGUCGUGGGUUUAAUUCCCACCGGAGCAA
rnacentral:tRNA from 1 species